rnacentral:rRNA from 1 species
AGCUCCGAGAGCAUAUGAAAAAGUUGUUGCGAUUAAAACACUCGUAGUUGGACUAUUGGCGAGGGCCUUUGACGGUCCAGGUCGAUAAGGCCGGAACUGUCGGGACUCGCCUUGUUGGUGAGAUUGCACCUCUGGCAUUAAGUUGUUGGGGGACGGCGCUCAUCUACUUCACUUUGAAUAAAUUGGAGUGUUCAAAGCAGACACUAUUAUAGUCAUUGCACAUUUUAGCAUAGGAUGAUAGAAUACGACCCCCGCCGACUUUUGUUAGCCUUGGCGGCGUGGGGUAAUGGUUAAAGGGGAUGGUGGAAGGUCCUUGUAUGGAGCUGUUAGAGGUGAAAUUCUUAGAUCGGCUCUAGACAAACUGCUGCGAAGGCGUUGUACCAACGACGUUUUCAUCA